rnacentral:sRNA from 14 species
CCGCGCCCGUUGCUUGAGGGUUACGGCCCUCUUGCCUGCGCGCCAAAUCUGGUCGUGCCGCUGCCCGGUUGGGCACCGCCAUGCGCACCUACAGGGACCACCGGCUACCGGCGAGGCCUGGCGCAGUUUCCCCAUCGAGCAAUCGGCGGGGCGACGUGGAUAGCACGAUAGGUCG